GAGAAAACUAAGGGGUGCUUGCCCGUUCCGGGUGCCGUCUGUGGAUGGCGCCGGAACAGUUGGACAGGCUGAGAACAUACCCGUUAACCUGAUCCAGGUAAUGCUGGCGUAGGUAGGAUAGAAGCCCUUUAU
rnacentral:ncRNA from 1 species